rnacentral:ribozyme from 1 species
UCUCCAGUAACUCCUAUCCCUACCUCCCCGUGGUGCCCCCUGGGGUACAAGUAACCGUAGGGAAGAUCGGAUAACUACCCUGGUGGGACCUUGGUCGUAUGCGACAGGGAAGG